rnacentral:rRNA from 1 species
UACGAAGGGGGCUAGCGUUGCUCGGAAUUACUGGGCGUAAAGCGCACGUAGGCGGCUUUCUAAGUCGGGGGUGAAAUCCUGGAGCUCAACUCCAGAACUGCCUUCGAUACUGGAGAGCUCGAGUCCGGGAGAGGUGAGUGGAACUGCGAGUGUAGAGGUGAAAUUCGUAGAUAUUGCAAGAACACCAGUGGCGAAGGCGGCUCACUGGCCGUGUAUGACGCUGAGGUGCGAAAGCGUGGGGAGCAAACAGG